rnacentral:rRNA from 1 species
UACGUAGGGUGCGAGCGUUAAUCGGAAUUACUGGGCGUAAAGCGUGCGCAGGCGGUUUUGUAAGCCAGAUGUGAAAUCCCCGAGCUUAACUUGGGAACUGCAUUUGGGACUGCAAGGCUAGAGUACGGCAGAGGGGGGUAGAAUUCCUGGUGUAGCAGUGAAAUGCGUAGAUAUGCGGAGGAACACCGGUGGCGAAGGCGGCCACCUGGACGGAUACUGACGCUGAGACGCGAAAGCGUGGGGAGCAAACAGG